ACCGCAGAUCUGCUGAUUUGGUCGGUUCCUCCGUCCACCGCUGUACGUUCCCAACGAGCCGCCUCCAUCUCCUCGCGAUUUGCUUUGAUUUCUACAAUUUGGUAUGUUCUACGCCUUUCUUUUUGUUUUCCUGUGGAAAUCACGGUAGCUGUCGGAUGGGAUUAGGAAGGUGGUGUUUGGAGGUUAAGUGACGGGUGGAGAGGUCGAGAGCCUGGGGGCUUUUAUGUCGGCGAUUUUAGCUGGAUUGUGAAACUAUUGGGAUGCUGCAGAGAACCAUGCUAUGAAAAUAACAUGGAGGAGAUAACUGGCAGUGGGAUAUUUUCCUGCAACAGAGAAGAUGACGGGUCAGAGGUUUCCAGCGCCUCCUCUACUGCAAAUGGCCCAUGUAUCACGUAGACCCAUAUAACUUGGUGGGGAGGAGAGCGUAUCCCCUAAAUGGCCGACCGACAACUCUGCCAGAGAUACCGAAGCAGAUGCUGCAGAGCUCAAGAAGCAGUUGUCUGAUGCAAAAUACAUAGAAAUCCGAAGGACUGUCAUAAUCAAGGGCGAUGUCUCGCCCUCUUCUCUUACACGGAAAAGCAUAUGAGCAAAGCGAAACUAAGGGAGAAGCAUCCGGCCAUGUUUUGAUGGUUUUUCUACUACAAUCUCUUUCAUCAUUUCGUGGGUCUCGUUAAUUUUUUUGUUUGAUUAUUCGUUCCUGUUUUAGGGUUCGGACUCUGAUACCAUGGUUCUGUAUGUUCAUAAAGCUUGUGACUUUUUUUCACCGUUUUAUACGCAUUUUGGUGCUGCGAGCGUGACUAGGGGGACGGACUGGAAACUGCGAGGGAGAAGCAUUCGACGGAAGUUUCUUGGCUCGCAAGCAAUCAUUUUCACCCUCUGCCCAAGUCAAAGCAAAUUUAAUUUGAUGAUUUUGUUUUAUAUCUCGGGUUUGUUAGAUUAUUGGACACACUCUCUGUAUAAUAUUAAUAUAAAUAUAAAUAUAGGUCGCAAAUGA